rnacentral:rRNA from 1 species
GACGAACGCUGGCGGCGUGCCUAAUACAUGCAAGUCGAGCGAAGAGGCGGAUGGGUGAGUAACGCGUGGGUAACCUGCCCUUAAGUCUGGGAUACCAGUUGGAAACAGAUGAUAAUACCGGAUACUAACGGAUGGACCUAGGAUGCAUUAGCUAGUUGGUAAGGUAACGGCUUACCAAGGCGAUGUUGCAUAGCCGAUUUGAGAGACUGAUCGGCCACAUUGGGACUGAGACACGGCCCAAACUCCUACGGGAGGCAGCAGUAGGGAAUCUUCCACAAUGGACGAAAGUCUGGUGGAGCAACGCCGCGUGAGUGAAGAAGGUUUUCGGAUCGUAAAGCUCUGUUGUUGGUGAAGCGGUAAUCAACCAGAAAGUCACGGCUAACUACGUGCCAGCCGCCGCGGUAAUAC